CAUUUCUCUCAGUUACACUGAGGUGAGGCCAACUGCUCUGUGUGUGGAAGCCAGAGAAGAAAGCAGCACAGAACAGAUGCAAACCAAGGAGGCUGGAAGAUAAGAGCAGAGCCAUCAGGACACGAGCCCCUCGCGGGUAUGAAACAGGAGUCGUGGGAGCAAAUUACAUUUCAGAGCUUCCUGUGUGCAGCAUGGAUCUAAAGCUGGUGGAUGCAGGGGGGUGAACAAGACAACAUCUUCACUUCCUGCAUGCUGAUGGCAGAAGUGAGACAUCAGCGAAGAAACAUCACGAUCACCAAAUUACGAUGAACACCAUGGAGGAAACAAAGGACACUGUGACACCAAGGAAGGAAGGGAGGUUACUUUUCAUAGUGGCUGUAAAUAGAACUGAAGGCUGAAAAACAGCUGUUAAAAUGGCUUGUUUGUUUGAAGAUGAAUGAGAGUACACAAUAAAAGGAAAAAAAUUUGGACACAGACACACACAGAGGGAUGACCACGUGGAGAUGCAGGGAGAGGAUAGCAGCUACAGGCCAGGGCGAGAGGCCUCAGAGGAAACCAGUCCUGCUGACUCUUUGAACUCGGACUUCCAGCCUCCAGAACUGAACCACUGUCUUCCUUUAUCCCAGGAUGUCUGCAAGGAAGAAAAUGUCCUUUUUCUAGCAUUUAGAGGCCACCAACAUUGAAUAACCACACUGGGGUAGACACAGCGGCGAAGAGAUUCCUGCUGUUCCCAUCACAGCAGCCUUGGAGAUGAGAAGACAGAUGGAUCUGACCAGAAGUCUGGAGAACUUCGAGAAAAAAGGAGGAGGACACAAAAGGAAAUAACAAAAAAGAUGCAUCCGGAGCAACUAUGAGGAUGGUAAAUUGGUGUCUAAUUCUGAAAAUCAUAAUUGGUAUAAAUGCUAUGUACUGUGGAAGGAGGGAUGAAGGGUAGAGGGAAUAAAAAAGAACAUGAAGUUAGAAUCCUUGGCAUGAAAGCCUGCCAUUUAUACAAGCAAACAAACAAGAUCAGGGACUAUCAACUGGCUGGCUGAAUUGGACCAAUAGGCAGGUUUAUUCAGCCCCACACUUCAAAAAUUAGGAGAUCUCCAAAUUAAAAUCUGGGAAUCUGACCUUUUGUAACAAAUCAGAGGAUUUGCAACACCAAGAGCAUCAUCACAGGCAACGACCAGCUUGGAUGGGCAGCGGCUGCCCCUGCAGGUGGGUCAGGUGCUCUUCCGUUGGACACAGUCUCCACCACUCCCUGUCGCUUGCUCCUUGCUCCCCAUCAGCAUAACUGUUUGGGCCUUAUAGCAUAUGCAUUUAUCACUCCCUACUAGGACGUCCACAACAUGAAAUGAGAGAACGAUUUGGUAAGUUCAACAAAAGGCAUAUUAUGCAGCCACCAUACAUUCUUUGUGGAAAGAGAAGUGGCAUAAAUCAAUUCAUAAAUUAUCUCAAGUUGUUUCCUCUGGAGUCCUGGGCUGGCUGUUGGAUGAAUUCAUCUGUCUUCUAGCAGAUGGACAAGAAAAUUGAAUUGUAGUGGCCCAUCAGGUGUCGAUCGCAGCCUCUGGGUCCGUGUAGGUGAGCCCUCACCACAGAGAGAAUGAGAGCUGGCUCUAGGACGGGGUGUUGAUCUGUGCACAGC
rnacentral:lncRNA from 1 species